GGUUCCAUAGCUCAGUUGGUAGAGCAUCGGAUUCCAGACCCGAAGGUCGUGGGUUCAAGUCCCGCUGGGAUCA
rfam:Fragilariopsis cylindrus CCMP1102 unplaced genomic scaffold FRACYscaffold_9, whole genome shotgun sequence.